UACGUAGGUCCCGAGCGUUGUCCGGAUUUAUUGGGCGUAAAGGGAACGCAGGCGGUCUUUUAAGUCUGAUGUGAAAGCCUUCGGCUUAACCGGAGUAGUGCAUUGGAAACUGGGAGACUUGAGUGCAGAAGAGGAGAGUGGAACUCCAUGUGUAGCGGUGAAAUGCGUAGAUAUAUGGAAGAACACCAGUGGCGAAAGCGGCUCUCUGGCCUGUAACUGACGCUGAGGUUCGAAAGCGUGGGUAGCAAACAGG
rnacentral:rRNA from 1 species